rnacentral:rRNA from 1 species
GACGAACGCUGGCGGCGUGCUUAACACAUGCAAGUCGAACGGAAAGGCCCUGCUUUUGUGGGGUGCUCGAGUGGCGAACGGGUGAGUAACACGUGAGUAACCUGCCCUUGACUUUGGGAUAACUUCAGGAAACUGGGGCUAAUACCGGAUAGGAGCUCCUGCUGCAUGGUGGGGGUUGGAAAGUUUCGGCGGUUGGGGAUGGACUCGCGGCUUAUCAGCUUGUUGGUGGGGUAGUGGCUUACCAAGGCUUUGACGGGUAGCCGGCCUGAGGGGGUGACCGGCCACAUGGGGACUGAGAUACGGCCCAGACUCCUACGGGGGGCAGCAGUGGGGAAUAUUGCACAAUGGGCGGAAGCCUGAUGCAGCAACGCCGCGUGCGGGAUGACGGCCUUCGGGUUGUAAACCGCUUUCGCCUGUGACGAAGCGUGAGUGACGGUAAUGGGUAAAGAAGCACCGGCUAACUACGUG